ACUUUUGUUAAACUGACCAUCAUUGAAGGUUCAGUGAAGUAUUGACUUAUGAGCUUUAACAGUGACCACUGGCUAGCAGGCUGACCGCUGGCUAUGUAAAUAUUUAAGGGAGGGGGUCUGAAGCCUGUAUACAUGUGUACACACUACACCCAUAUUCAGGUCAGGUCUAUUUACACACUGUAUACCCUAUGUUCCUGAAUUUUUCCAGAUAUGUGUGUUUAUUACACUACAGUGUAGAGACUCGGUGUGUACCGUGAUAUUUGGGCGUGGCAGUACUAGGGGCUUUACAGUACUAGCGUGACUAUCUCACCAUCGUGGACUCUUUAUAGUGAUUUGAGAACUAGUGGAUAGUGUUUGACUUGCUUGAAGGAGGACGGUGAUAUCGUUGGACGCAGCAUCAUCAACUUCUCAAGAACAAAGAAAAGAAAAGCUGAGUUGAGAGAAGAAUGGGUUUGGGUGAAGGUCAAGGUGAAGGUCAAGGUGGUGCUGAUGCUGGAGGCCUGUGUCCAGGGUUGCUGUGGUCAUUUUUGUGGUUCCUGAUCCUUUGGUUCCUUGCAUGGCCCAUCGCCUUCUUUAUUGCAUGGCUAUACAUCCUGUUGUUGCCGUUCACCGUAUGCAUAGAGAACCUUAAGGGUGUAUGUGAGGCUCUCCUAGGUGUCGUCAAUCUCCCUCUCACAGUCACUGAGAACAUGAUUGCGAUGAAGCCUCUCUGUGGUUAGGUGUGCAAGGUCAAGAUUUUCAAUUUAAGUGUACUUAACCAAUCAUAGGAGGAAGGUAUCGACAUGGCAACAUCUAUGGUGGAAGAACACUGUGUGAAACAGCCAAGGCAAUUUUUUCUUUUUUCCCAUGGCAACAUCUCGAUGUCAUGUAGACAUAAUUACUAACUUUAGGUGGAAUUAACGAACAAUUAACUUAAAUUGGAUUUAACUUUACAUUAAUAUGACAACAUCAAUAUCAAUAGUUGAAGAAACAUCCAACAAGGACCGAACGCCAUGGCAACUGUGUUCUAUAGUGGAUUAAUCACUGACAACAUCUCAGGUGGAAUAAUAACACAUUUAUGACAUCUAACAUUAAAUUAAAUCACCAUGACAACAUCUUAGAUGCCGAUGGAAAUGCACUUAAACAAAAUUGUUUGGAUCUGUGCUGAAGAAAUUUGGCGGAGGAAUAAUAUGGGAGAGAAAGGGAGGAAGAAGAGAGUGACAAGUUAUAAAUUGAUCUGUAAAAUAAAGGCAAGCUAUACCAGUGAUCUCACACUCAAUGGUUCAUACAAACCAUUCAACAAUAUGUGUGACAACUUGUUAAGGUGCUGAAAUUAUAAUAAGAUGCAAUUUUUGUAUUUAAAAUCAAGUAUCACUGAUGCCUUAUAUAAAGUCAUUUCAUUUUUAUUUUCCUUCUUGGUAUAAUCAUUUCACAUAAUAACCUUGUAAUAUAGAAUUAUAUGGAGUAUAGUCAAACCUGUCUAUAAAGACCACUCAGUAAGUAGCUUUUAUAUGGAGAUUGACAUAGAGAAUCAUGAAUGGCUAUCUAAUAUGUGGAAUUUAUUUAUCAAAUUCAAUAAUUCAAUAUGUCAUGAGCAUUUAGGCUACUGACAAAUAAAUCAUUUAACGUGUUUAAUAAAUUCAUAUUACAUAGGCACAAGUGUCAGAUAGCGUUUAUCACAUAACUUGUAUUUAUAAGAUUAGAAGUAAAAAAACUUUCAAAUUUAUUUCUAUAUAAGAAAGGCAACUUUAGACUUUGACAGUAUAAAGAGACAAUCAUGCAAUGUCAUAUAUUUACUGUGGCGUCAUAACUAUUUUUAAUGUCACAAUAUUGUUAUUACACCUGUAUGACAUUGUAGAUCAGGCCAGUUAUGUGAUAAAAUUAAUUGUGUUACACUUGGAACUAAAGAAGAUGGCUUUUACGGACAGGUUUGUGUUUUUGACAGACUUACCUGUAUUUUUAUACAGUUUUAUAUGAAGUAUUUUCUAAAUAUAAAGAAUGUAUAUAUAUAAUAAUCCUACCUCUAUGAGUCCACAAUCUGCCAAUCUCUUCAAAGUUAUUUCUUUUGUGUUUACAUUAUUAUUUCCUAUUAACCCUUUCACCCCUACUGACCAUAUUGGACUUCAAUUGAUGAUCGAAUGGAAGAGUCCACUAAAGAUUCUUAGGGUUGAAAGGGUUAAGACAAUCUUUAACUAUUAAUUCCAUUCUCUCUGUUAGUAAACCACCAUUUCAUGGCCAUCCUAUCAAUUAAUCAAUUCUCCGUGCUAACAAUCCAAAAUGUUCUCAUCCCCACAAAUGAAUGAGGCUUGAUUGUAUUUUAGUACAAUGUAUCUGAAUUACUGUUUCAAGUAAAUAUACUGUAACAUAUAUACUGUAAAAUCAUUUAUUUUUGUAGGGCUCACAUUAUCUGUAUUCUUGAUCAUGAUUAUUUGACCAGAAUUAUUUUUCCAGCAAACAUAAUCACAGAAAAUAGCACUUCUCAUAAAAUUGAAAUAUUAGAAAAACAAAUUUUGAUUUGUUUGAAGCACAACAAACCAAACUAAAUAUAACAGUAAUUAGAAAUAUACCAAAACGAAUAUCCUUCUUCCAAUCUGUAUCAGCUGGGUUUUUUUUAUCUCAUAAUUAUAAGCUUUUUGAAGUGAUAACAAGGAAUUGAAUCUUUUAUUCAACUACACUAAUACCUACAAUACAGUCAGAUAAUGCAUGCUAAUUCAAAAUAAUUCACAAAAUAUUGAGUGAAAGACAUUUUCAGUGUAUUUAGAUACAUAUGAAAAUUAAUUUCAUACCGUAUUAAUCCAGAAAUAAUUGUAUGCCUGGGAAUAAGCCUACUCACAUCUGUUGUAGUUUUAGUAAAAUGCUAUGUCUGGUAAUAAGCCCACUCUGUUGUAGUUUUAGUGAAAUGCUAACAAAUACUCUUUUAUAUUGGUCUGUGAAAACACUUCCGUGUCUAUUCUAGUACAAUAGUCAAAAUGCUAUUUAACUGUAUUAUCCUGUAAUAAGUCCACCCCGUGUUUUUGUUGAAAGUUCACAUACUUUAGUACAGUAAUUUAGUUAUAUUUCCCUUGUGUUAAUUAAAAUUUCAUAAUAUUGAUAUCUACCCGGUAUGAAAAGAAUGCCAAAAUAUCCUACAUGAUGAGCCAUGCAACUCUAGCCAAUAGCCAUUGAUCAAUCAUUUUACAUAAUCACUUUCAAUAUUUUUUUUCAUUUUUUUCUUUUUUUCACUCGCCAAAUGAUCUGACAUCUGUCUAUAUAUAUUGAAACUUUUUAAUUAAAUGUAAGUUAGCACUAUC